UACGAAGGGGGCUAGCGUUGUUCGGAAUUACUGGGCGUAAAGCGCACGUAGGCGGAUUGUUAAGUUAGGGGUGAAAUCCCAGGGCUCAACCCUGGAACUGCCUUUAAUACUGGCAAUCUCGAGUCCGAGAGAGGUGAGUGGAAUUCCGAGUGUAGAGGUGAAAUUCGUAGAUAUUCGGAGGAACACCCGUGGCUAAGGCGGUUCUCUAGUACGGUACUGACGCUGAGACGCGAAAGCGUGGGGAGCGAACAGG
rnacentral:rRNA from 1 species